ACGUGUAUUCUCGGGUAUAUAAUACGUCUGUUGCUGUUAUUGCUUAAGAAUACACGUAG
rnacentral:pre_miRNA from 1 species